rnacentral:rRNA from 1 species
UGCAGUUAAAAAGCUCGUAGUUGAAACUUGGGCCUGGCUGGCAGGUCCGCCUCACCGCGUGUACUUGUCCGGCCGGGUCUUCCUUCUGGAGAACCUCAUGCCCUUCACUGGGCGUGUUGGGGACCAGGACUUUUACUUAAUUUCUGCGUAUGCCUAGUUCUGGCUUUGGUCAAGCUAGUGUGUGCGCAUCCGCUUGCAAAUCCGGACCGGCGUUUACUCGUCGACCGGGGGAGUAGGCCCUUUACCUUGAAAAAAUUAGAGUGUUUCAGGCAGGCAAUGUGAAAAAAUUAGAGUGUUCAAAGCGCUCGAAUACAUUAGCAUGGAAUAAUAGGGCUUACGCUUGAAUAUAUUAGCAUGGAAUAACACUAUAGGACUCCUGUCCUAUUUUGUUGGUCUUCGGGACGGGAGUAAUGAUUAAGAGGAACAGUUGGGGGCAUUCGUAUUUCAUUGUCAGAGGUGAAAUUCUUGGAUUUACGGAAGACGAACUACUGCGAAAGCAUUUACCAAGG